rnacentral:rRNA from 1 species
AGUGAACGCUGGCGGUAGGCCUAACACAUGCAAGUCGAACGGCAGCACAGUAAGAGCCUGCUCUUACGGGUGGCGAGUGGCGGACGGGUGAGGAAUACAUCGGAAUCUACUUUUUCGUGGGGGAUACCGAGGGAAACUUUCGCCUAAUACCUAAUCGUCCCAACGGGUUAAGUCAGGGGUUCUUGGUCCUUUUGGCAUUUCAUUUAGCGGUGUCGGAUUAGCUAGUUGGCGGGGUAAAGGCCCACCAAGGCGACGAUCCGUAGCUGGUCUGAGAGGAUGAUCAGCCACACUGGAACUGAGACACGGUCCAGACUCCUACGGGAGGCAGCAGUGGGGAAUAUUGGACAAUGGGCGCAAGCCUGAUCCAGCCAUACCGCGUGGGUGAAGAAGGCCUUCGGGUUGUAAAGCCCUUUUGUUGGGAAAGAAAAGCAGCAGGUUAAUACCCCGCUGUUCUGACGGUACCCAAAGAAUAAGCACCGGCUAACUUCGUG